UCCACACCCGCGGCGCGGUGCACGUUCUGCCUCCGGCAACCCGCCCCGCCCGCGGCCGCAUCCCUCCCGCAUCCCGCGGCCGCACCAUCAACGGCGCAACAGCCGCAUCCAGUCCCUCCCGCAUCAACAGCGUCGCAGCCAGUCCCUCCCGAUUCGCGCUUAAUCCCCGCAUCCAGUCCCUCCCGCAUCCAGUCCCUCCCGCGGUGCAAUCCAGACGCAAACAACUCCAUUGACCCCGAUUCGCGUACAUGCUCUCUCACAGCAAUCCCUGCUCUCUCCUCGCCAACGCCUCUCGAUAAACUCCAUGGAAGGUUCACACUGAUGCGCUCUGAUUCCUUGCUCCACGCUCUCUCCUGCUCUCGCGCUCUACAUGGAAGGUGAGGCCGACGCCCAAAUCGACGGAAUCCCUGCUCUGCGCUCUCCCCUGCUCCCGCGCUCUACAUGGAAGGCGAGGCCGGCGCCCAAAUCGACGGGAUCACUGCUCGGACAGGAUUGCGGCCUCGAUCCGCGCUCUCCAGAUUCGCCUAGAUUGACAGCGUCCGCGCCGCGCUUGCCCAGAUCGAUGGAAUCUAGGUCUCCAGAUGCAAGUCCGGGGCUCGCUACCCGUGGAAGGCGAGGAGAGACGACGCAUCGGCUCUCGAUCCGUGCUCUACAUGGAAGGUGAGGCAGAUCGGGGGGAGUGUGUAGAGAAAUCCAAGCGAAACCCCGCGAGAGCGAGGCGACGGCGGACGGAGGCGAGUGGGUGAGCCGCGGGCGAGAGACGAGGUAGCGGGCUAGCGCGAUGCCGUCGCCGGUUGUAGUGGCCGCGACGCUGCUGGUGGUAGCACUGGCGGCAUUCUGCGGCACGGACCCGCUCCGGACGGACAGCAUGGUGGACUUCCCGGGGUUUGAGUCCCACCUCGUCGACCUCCCCAAUCCCGCCGAGAUGCCGACGCACGCGGAUGAAUGGGAGCGGCUCUGUGGAGCCGAUGUGCGGUUCUGCGGCGAGGUGCAGGGGCCCGAGAGCAUCACCUUCGACCAGCAGGGCCAUACACGGGCGUCGCCGACGGCCGGGUCGUCUUCUGGGACGGCGAGCGGUGGGUCCCAUUCGCGAUGGCCUUCCCGUGCUGGACGCAGGAGCUCCACGGAGGGCCGAAGGCCUCGCCGCUGGAGUAUCUCCCAGCGAGCAUAUCUGCAACCGCCCGCUCGGGCUCUGUUUCGAUAAGACUGGGGACCUGUACAUCGCCGACGCCUACUUCGGCUUGCUCAAAGUCCGCCGCGAGGCCGGGCUGGCCACGCUGCUCGCAACGGAGGCCGAGGGCGUGCGCUUCAACUUCACCAACGACCUCGACCUCGACCUCGACGACGAGGGCAACAUCUACUUCACUGACUCUAGCAUUCACUACCAAAGACGUCUGUGAUGCCAUGCCCUCGCUCUCUUCCCUCUGCUUUGCGCGCUUGGUUGGAUGCUCACUUGAUUCCUACUGACCACGGGGAUGGUGAUCGACUGAUUGUUAACAUCACUUGAUUCCUCUGCUUUAUAUUGAUUCCUACUGAAGAUGGACAAUAUAAAAACCUAAAAUGGACCAAUUCUUUCUUUGAGGGAUACAACCCUACUCUGGUGUAACUUAUACUUGUUCUAGCACUUGGCCCUCUGAUCUGGUGAAUAAGUUAUGCAGAAGAAAAAUUAUGUUUUAUUUUAUAUUUAACUGUACUUUGUUGUAGCUUGUAGGUACUGAUCAGAGGGCCAGGUGCUAUCCACGAAUGAUAGUGUAAUGUCUAGGAACGAUAGCUGAUUUGGAAAACCUGCAAAGUCUAUUCACAACAGGUACACUGCCUUCCCAAUUAAGGAAAAACUGACACUCAUAUCCCAUUGAAUUUGCUGGCUAUGCAUACCUGUUCAGUUCACAAUGAUAUAACCACUUACUUUAUGUAAUGUGAAUACGUUUAUUAAAAUAGUUAUGAUCAGCAUAUCCUUCCUUAAUCGACAUAUUUUUUUCUUCUAUGUACCUUCUAUUCAGGUUACGAAUACUGUAAAGAUAAUUUAGAAUUUCUCAUACAAAUCCUUAACCACUGUAAAUAUAUGGGGAAUUUCUAAAAUGUGUUUAGAUUCAUACAUGUACAAGUUUGUAUUAUGUUUUUAUGCAUAUUUAUGAAUCUACCUUAUAAUCGAUUUUAUAUUGUUGUCUCACUUAUUCCUCUUUAAAACACACACUUGCUGUUUUCAAAUUUCAAGUCACUAAUUGUUACUGUUCUUCCUCAAAAAAAUACCACUGUAAUUAAGUUGCCGAUGCAGUGAUAUAUAAUGGUCACCUAUUAUGAAGAAAUAGUGAAUGGGAGAAGGGUUGAGUUUUGGAGCCGGUGCAUGCAAAUCAUAUACCAGGUUUAUGCUAUAAUGUUUUCCUUAUGAAGAAUUAAAUAUUUGUGUGUUUGCACAGCGAGGUCAUAUUUUCAUAUUGAUUUUCUGUACCUGGGACUUUGGAGAGGGGAACACGUUCCAAAACCGGAGCGUUUCAUCACCAGCCCCAGUAACUAUGGUCUGUUGGUAUGACCUCGCUGAGGUUGUUGCCCUCACCGAGAGCAUCGGCAAGCCGCUCGCCGAGGUGCUCAAGGAGCUCGGGAAGAGGGUUCCAGACUCCCUUGUGAAGACCCGCAUCGAGGAUGAUGGCUUCACUAUCAACUCGAGAAGAGGGUUCCAGACUCCCUUGUGAAGACCCACAACUAGAGAAAUAGGAUGGAGAGGGAAAUUUACUAAGAGAGGACGUGUAACAAAUAAGGCCAGGAAUUAUUAGAAUGAAUGGAAAAUGUCCUCAUACACCUUUGGAGAUUUUAUUUCGCUUGUGGGCAAGUGGUGAUCAGAGUUUGUCUCUAUCGGCAACUGUUUGGAUCACUGUUUAACUAAAUCCUACAAUACAUACCUUGCCAGUACCAAUCUUGUGAAUGACAGAAACACAAAGCAUAUUUAUUUUCUGAUGGACUGCCUGUAGAGCUGUAUUCUCUUGAUGUUCAGAAAUCAUAUGAGAGGGCAAUAAUCUCCGUGGAGCAACUGAAUGCUAUUCUUAGACAGGCUUCUAAAACCAAGGAAAAGGAAGAUCUCAGGAAGAUAGAUAACUGGCAAUAUAUUAGUUGUGUCACCCUAUGGGUUCGGUUUCUGUGUUGUCACUAUAAGGAUUACAAUCUCCAUCCCUUAUUUUCUCAAGUUCUUCAAGUAAUAAGAGGAGUGGCUCACUUAUUCCCAGGCACAAGGUACUUACCGUUGAGACUGAAGCUUGUGCAGAUGCUGAACGAGCUUUCCACUUGCAGUCAGAUGUUCUAUCCAAUUCCAUAGUUGCUCUUUGACUGCCUAGAAUUAAGAGAAGUUUCUCAGAAAGAACAAACACAAAGAACAAAGAUCAACUUUUCGUCUUUGUUGAAGGUGCCAAAGAACCUGCUGAAACCAAGGGAUUUUCAAGAGGAGUGUAUUCUUUCAGCGAUUCAGAUUCUAUCAGCACAUUUUGCCCAGUGGAGUUACCAUGUUUCCUUCCUAGAAGUAGCCACCAUUCCUCUUGUCCUCUUGAAGAGGCUACAUGAGCAGACAACAGUUGAAUCACUUCGCCAUCCUAUUAAGUGUUUGAUAGACCAGGUGACGGAGAACAAGGAUUUUAUAGAAAGGAAAAGAGAGGUUGUAUCCUUUUCACCAAAUGAUAAGGCGUCAGUUGAUAGCUUCCUUCAGGAGGAGAAGGUCAGCAGAACCGCUUCAUUCACUCGGUUCUAUGCAUCCGUAGCUGAAAACCGUCAACCAAAAUGUAUGUCAUAAAUCUCUACUACUCCUUAUGUCUUUAGUGUAGGCGUCCACAUCUCUUUGUUCUGCCAUCGCGCGCUCCGCCCGCGAUUCCCCUCCCCGCGCCCGCAGUCCCCGCCGCCAUCCUCGCGGCCGCAGCCGAGCACAGCCGCCGCGCCCGCAGUCCCCGCGCCAGCAACGCUCGUAGUCCCUGCCGCCGUCCUCGCGGCCGCAAAUUCGCCGCGCCCGCAGUCCACACAGAAUGUCGGACAGGGACGCCGUGGCCCCCGCGGGCGGCGGUGACCGGAAGGCGGCCAAGCUCGGGAGCUGGAGCAGCAUGAGCAGCAACUACGGCAACAAGAAGCGGAAGAGCAGCAGCAGCAGCUUCGGGAGGAGAUCCACAUCCACCUGCGAGGAAAGGCAGGGGGUCUUCCGCAUGCUCAUGAGCUGGAACCAGGAGAGCCGGUUCAGCAACAAGAUCAAGACGACGACGAGCAAAGAAAGAUGAACGAAACGAAGUGUUCUUAGCUUGGUGUGAUUAUUCGGGGGGUUGCUUGCUGGAGGGUUUUUGUUCGUUUAGUGUCUAGCCUUAGCUUACUUAUUACUUUUGUUAGUACUCUACUAGCAGAGUACAUGCAUAGAGUCAGUGGUGUGGCUGUGGCGUGGAUCAGAUCAUUGAUUUGAUCGAGCUGUACAAAUAGCGAGGCGAUACAUGUCACUGAGUUGAUCAGUUGACAAGGUGGUUUGGACCAUGUUGAGGCACGGAGAAACUUCAUCCCUAAGUUUUAGUUUGUCUGGCUUUGCUCGUCAUUUUGUACUUGUUCUUCUCACAUAUUUGUUGCUUAGAAUUUACUUCAAACUCACGUCCUUUUAGCAAUAUAAUACACAUUUGUACAUA